UAGGGGGGGCCUGCGGAAGGAUCAUUG
rnacentral:rRNA from 1 species